GGCGUGCCUAAUACAUGCAAGUCGAGCGAGCAGAACCAGCAGAUUUACUUCGGUAAUGACGCUGGGGACGCGAGCGGCGGAUGGGUGAGUAACACGUGGGGAACCUGCCCCAUAGUCUAGGAUACCACUUGGAAACAGGUGCUAAUACCGGAUAAUAAAGCAGAUCGCAUGAUCAGCUUAUAAAAGGCGGCGUAAGCUGUCGCUAUGGGAUGGCCCCGCGGUGCAUUAGCUAGUUGGUAAGGUAACGGCUUACCAAGGCAAUGAUGCAUAGCCGAGUUGAGAGACUGAACGGCCACAUUGGGACUGAGACACGGCCCAAACUCCUACGGGAGGCAGCAGUAGGGAAUCUUCCACAAUGGACGCAAGUCUGAUGGAGCAACGCCGCGUGAGUGAAGAAGGUUUUCGGAUCGUAAAGCUCUGUUGUUGGUGAAGAAGGAUAGAGGUAGUAACUGGCCUUUAUUUGACGGUAAUCAACCAGAAAGUCACGGCUAACUACGUGCCAGCAGCCGCGGUAAUACGUAGGUGGCAAGCGUUGUCCGGAUUUAUUGGGCGUAAAGCGAGCGCAGGCGGAAGAAUAAGUCUGAUGUGAAAGCCCUCGGCUUAACCGAGGAAUUGCAUCGGAAACUGUUUUUCUUGAGUGCAGAAGAGGAGAGUGGAACUCCAUGUGUAGCGGUGGAAUGCGUAGAUAUAUGGAAGAACACCAGUGGCGAAGGCGGCUCUCUGGUCUGCAACUGACGCUGAGGCUCGAAAGCAUGGGUAGCGAACAGGAUUAGAUACCCUGGUAGUCCAUGCCGUAAACGAUGAGUGCUAAGUGUUGGGAGGUUUCCGCCUCUCAGUGCUGCAGCUAACGCAUUAAGCACUCCGCCUGGGGAGUACGACCGCAAGGUUGAAACUCAAAGGAAUUGACGGGGGCCCGCACAAGCGGUGGAGCAUGUGGUUUAAUUCGAAGCAACGCGAAGAACCUUACCAGGUCUUGACAUCUAGUGCCAUCCUAAGAGAUUAGGAGUUCCCUUCGGGGACGCUAAGACAGGUGGUGCAUGGCUGUCGUCAGCUCGUGUCGUGAGAUGUUGGGUUAAGUCCCGCAACGAGCGCAACCCUUAUUAUUAGUUGCCAGCAUUAAGUUGGGCACUCUAAUGAGACUGCCGGUGACAAACCGGAGGAAGGUGGGGAUGACGUCAAGUCAUCAUGCCCCUUAUGACCUGGGCUACACACGUGCUACAAUGGGCAGUACAACGAGAAGCGAGCCUGCGAAGGCAAGCGAAUCUCUGAAAGCUGUUCUCAGUUCGGACUGCAGUCUGCAACUCGACUGCACGAAGCUGGAAUCGCUAGUAAUCGCGGAUCAGAACGCCGCGGUGAAUACGUUCCCGGGCCUUGUACACACCGCCCGUCACACCAUGGAAGUCUGCAAUGCCCAAAGCCGGUGGCCUAACCUUCGGGAAGGAGCCGUCUAAGGCAGGGCAGAUGACUGGGGUGAAGUCGUAACAAGGUAGCCGUAGGAGAA
rnacentral:rRNA from 1 species